CGAUCCCACAUCCCUCAGUGCGCGCGCCUCCCGACUCCUCCUCAAGACCCUCCUCAGCUCCUCAACCUCGAGGGCGAAAAGCUCUGGCCACGAGGAGUUCCUGCCCAAGAAUUAUGAAGCAAAAUGGACUAUAUCCUUGGGUAUCUUAAGAAACUCUCCAGUUUGGCAGAGGAAGAAUUGUGCUUCUUUAAAGGUGCAUCUAUAUGUUGGCCAUCUCAAGAAGGUGAAGACAAAGGACCAAGUACCUGAACAAUUAGGGACAGAGUUUCAUAACAUUGUACAGGAAGUGGCAACCAA